rnacentral:rRNA from 1 species
AUGCGAAUCGCGAUCCAGUACGCGUCGUUGAUGCGCUGCGUGCAGAUGCCACUGCGUGCAGCGAUGCACUUCUCUAUAUAUAUAGCACAAACUAACAAGUUGAAGAAGCACCACUGCCGGUGCUAUCUAUCCCAACACAAUACAUGCAUACACAAGAUGAGCACGGCCAUGGCAUCGCUCGUGCUUGCAACAGUGCUCGUGCUGCCGUUGACAACAAUGGCCAUGGCACUGACCAUGGCUAGAAGAAACUGCUCCGACACCUGUGGUCAUAGUAGUGAUAGGAUACCUUAUCCGUUCGGACUAGGUCCUUCAUGCUCCUUGCCUGGUUUCAAUCUCACAUGUACUGUCGACAAGCACACCAACACCAGUUAUCUGGUGCUGAACAAGGGCAACUCGCCCCUGGGGCGGUCCCCUUUGUGGAUUCCACCUUCGUGUACGCCAAUUUUUCCUACUCGGUGA